rnacentral:rRNA from 1 species
CCUACGGGUGGCAGCAGUGAGGAAUAUUGGUCAAUGGGCGCAAGCCUGAACCAGCCAAGUCGCGUGAGGGAUGACGGUCCUAUGGAUUGUAAACCUCUUUUGUCGGGGAGCAAGGCCCGCCACGUGUGGCGGGAAGGAGAGUACCCGAAGAAAAAGCAUCGACUAACUCCGUGCGAGCAGCCGCGGUAAUACGGAGGAUGCGAGCGUUAUCCGGAUUUAUUGGGUUUAAAGGGUGCGUGGGCGGAAGGUUAAGUCAGCGGUAAAAUGUCGGUGCUCAACACCGGCCUGCCGUUGAAACUGGUCUUCUUGAGUGAGCGAGAAGUAUGCGGAAUGCGUGGUGUAGCGGUGAAAUGCAUAGAUAUCACGCAGAACUCCGAUUGCGAAGGCAGCAUACCGGCGCUCAACUGACGCUGAGGCACGAAAGCGUGGGGAUCGAACAGGAUUAGAUACCCCAGUAGUC